AAAAUGACAAACAUAAUGUUGAUAUUAUACCAUUCAUUUAGAAUCUAUUAAACAUAUCCUCGUUUAUAGCACACAAAAUUGCAGUGAAUUUAAAUAUUUGAAUAAAAAGACGAGUAUCAUUUGAGGAAGAGAAUUUCCAUCUUGAUUCCGUACACAAAUAAAUAUGGAUUAUAAAGUAAAAGAGAAAACAACGGUAAAGACAAAGACAAUGGAUACUGUGUUUGUUAAUGACACUCCAAUAACCAAGAUCAGUGAAACAAAGCACACGCAAAAAGUAUUAAAGGAGUUUGAAACGAUGGCGACUGAAGUCAAACGACAAAAGACAGAAGUUGAUUUGAUGAGGAAAGAUAUACAGACCGUUGUCAAACAAAACAAACCAUCCCACGAUGACAUAUUGAAAGAACUGGAUGAUUUGAGAAUUGCACUGGAGCAAAAAGACAAGCUUCUACGAUCUGCGCAUGACGAACUUUUUGCUAGAAUCGGACAGAGACAACUUGGAUGAAAAAAUUAUCAAACUGAAAGCUGAGAUCGAAGAGAAAGAUGCAACAAUCAUGAAACUUCGUCAUAAAAUUAAGAAAUUUGAUAAGUUCAGAGAAGAAAUGCUGACCGAAAAUAAGAAAACCAGAGAAGAACUUACCGGGAAACUGGAUAACGUAACAGGAGAGCUGGAGUUCAUGCGUGAUGAGUUCAAGUUCAUGCAUUCUGCAAUGAAUGAACUGUUAACUGGAGCUAGGAAAGAAAAUAACAAGAAGAAACAAAGUGGUUGGAACAACUCUCCAAAUACCCAUAAUACCCAGAAUGCAAAGCAAAAGAAGAAACCAUAGCAACAUGUGCUUGUUGUCUACACAUUUUUCAUCUGUUAAAAGAACACGUGUCAAACGAUGCUAAUUCUGGCGAAUAUAACAAUUAUUGACAAUUAAGGAUGUUUGCUCCUCUUGUUUUUGAAUAUUUGCCAAAUUUUCGUAAUCCUCUGGUUUUAUCCAUGUAUUGCCAUUAAAAAAAAUUUGCCCACUAACCCCUACUUUUCUUUUCAUAAUUUUAUUACAUAUAGUUUAAAAAGCCAUAUUUGAAAAUCUUAUAAAAUCCUUGUUAUUUUUUCAUAGUUUUUGAAACAAAAAAGGGGCCAAUGUUAUGAAGUAUGAAAAGUCUAGAGAGAAUAAUUUCCCGCCAAAUUUUCAAUGGCUUAUACGGACCCUUCAUUUUUUUCUGCUUUUUUAGUUCUUUUAUUUAUAUACUAUCAUUUUAGAACAGUCUUUUAAAAGGCUUGUUAUAUUGAAACAGAGUAGCGAACAUCCUUAAAUAUAUUUGUAUAAUGAAACAGUUAACCACUCCUUGUCAGUUAUCAUACUGCACACUUUAUGAAGCCUAAUUAGAAUUAAAUAAUAAAAGAAGUUUCUUUUUCUUCA